rnacentral:rRNA from 1 species
GAUGAACGCUGGCGGCGUGCCUAAUACAUGCAAGUCGAGCGAACAGAUAAGGAGCUUGCUCCUUUGACGUUAGCGGCGGACGGGUGAGUAACACGUGGGUAACCUACCUAUAAGACUGGGAUAACUUCGGGAAACCGGAGCUAAUACCGGAUAACAUUUGGAACCGCAUGGUUCUAAAGUGAAAGAUGGUUUUGCUAUCACUUAUAGAUGGACCCGCGCCGUAUUAGCUAGUUGGUAAGGUAACGGCUUACCAAGGCGACGAUACGUAGCCGACCUGAGAGGGUGAUCGGCCACACUGGAACUGAGACACGGUCCAGACUCCUACGGGAGGCAGCAGUAGGGAAUCUUCCGCAAUGGGCGAAAGCCUGACGGAGCAACGCCGCGUGAGUGAUGAAGGGUUUCGGCUCGUAAAACUCUGUUAUUAGGGAAGAACAAACGUGUAAGUAACUGUGCACGUCUUGACGGUACCGAAUCAGAAAGCCACGGCUAACUACGU